rnacentral:rRNA from 1 species
CCUACGGGAGGCUGCAGUGAGGAAUAUUGGUCAAUGGCCGCAGGGCUGAACCAGCCAAGUCGCGUGAGGGAUGACGGUCCUAUGGAUUGUAAACCUCUUUUGUCAGGGAGCAAAGGGCGCCACGUGUGGCGCUUUGCGAGUACCUGAAGAAAAAGCAUCGGCUAACUCCGUGCCAGCAGCCGCGGUAAUACGGAGGAUGCGAGCGUUCUCCGGAUUUAUUGGGUUUAAAGGGUGCGCAGGCGGAAUGUCAAGUCAGCGGUAAAAUUUCGGGGCUCAACCCCGUCGUGCCGUUGAAACUGGCGUUCUUGAGUGAGCGAGAAGUAUGCGGAAUGCGUGGUGUAGCGGUGAAAUGCAUAGAUAUCACGCAGAACUCCGAUUGCGAAGGCAGCAUACCGGCGCUCAACUGACGCUCAUGCACGAAAGCGUGGGUAUCGAACAGGAUUAGAUACCCGGGUAGUC